GACGUAGGGCGCGAGCGUUUGUCCGGAUUUAUUGGGCGUAAAGAGCUCGUAGGCGGCUCGUUGCGUCGGCUGUGAAAACCCACAGCUUAACUGUGGGCCUGCAGCCGAUACGGGCGAGCUAGAGUUCGGUAGGGGGAGACUGGAAUUCCUGGUGUAGCGGUGAAAUGCGCAGAUAUCAGGAGGAACACCGGUGGCGAAGGCGGGGUCUCUGGGCCGAUACUGACGCUGAGGAGCGAAAGCGUGGGGGAGCGAACAGG
rnacentral:rRNA from 1 species